rnacentral:rRNA from 1 species
GACGUAGGGCGCGAGCGUUGUCCGGAUUUAUUGGGCGUAAAGAGCUCGUAGGCGGUCUGUCGCGUCGACCGUGAAAACCCGCAGCUCAACUGCGGGCUUGCGGUCGAUACGGGCAGGCUGGAGUUCGGUAGGGGAGACUGGAAUUCCUGGUGUAGCGGUGAAAUGCGCAGAUAUCAGGAGGAACACCGGUGGCGAAGGCGGGUCUCUGGGCCGAUACUGACGCUGAGGAGCGAAAGCGUGGGGAGCGAACAGG